rnacentral:rRNA from 1 species
CCCUUAGAUGUUCUGGGCCGCACGCGCGCUACACUGACGAAUGCAACGAGCUUAUAACCUUGGCCGAAAGGUCUGGGUAAUCUCCAAAUUUCGUCGUGAUGGGAUAGAUUAUUGCAAUUAUUAAUCUUCAACGAGGAAUGCCUAGUAAGCGCAAGUCAUCAGCUUGCGUUGAUUACGUCCCUGCCCUUUGUACACACCGCCCGUCGCUCCUACCGAUUGAAUGGUCCGGUGAAGCGUUCGGACCGUGGCCUUUGGACGGUUCGCCGUCUGUUGGCUGCGGGAAGUUCGUUAAACCUUAUCAUUUAGAGGAAGGAGAAGUCGUAACA